rnacentral:rRNA from 1 species
GACGAACGCUGGCGGCGUGCCUAAUACAUGCAAGUUGAGCGAUGAAGAUUGGUGCUUGCACCAAUUUGAAGAGCAGCGAACGGGUGAGUAACGCGUGGGGAAUCUGCCUUUGAGCGGGGGACAACAUUUGGAAACGAAUGCUAAUACCGCAUAACAACUUUAAACAUAAGUUUUAAGUUUGAAAGAUGCAAUUGCAUCACUCAAAGAUGAUCCCGCGUUGUAUUAGCUAGUUGGUGAGGUAAAGGCUCACCAAGGCGAUGAUACAUAGUCGACCUGAGAGGGUGAUCGGCCACAUUGGGACUGAGACACGGCCCAAACUCCGACGGGAGGCAGCAGUAGGGAAUCUUCGGCAAUGGACGAAAGUCUGACCGAGCAACGCCGCGUGAGUGAAGAAGGUUUUCGGAUAGUAAAACUCUGUUGGUAGAGAAGAACGUUGGUGAGAGUGGAAAGCUCAUCAAGUGACGGUAACUACCCAGAAAGGGACGGCUAACUACGUG